UAAUGAAGGAACAUUGGUAAUGUGCACGGAUAUUGAAGCAGUGGGGUUAAGAUGUCUGUCCCCACCGAUGCCGCCCGGCUUUUAUCUGAGGGCCUGGUUAAGACCCACAUCU